CAGGCCUACGGGGCGCAGCAGUGAGGAAUCUUGGUCAAUGGGCUUACGCCUGAACCAGCCAAGCCGCGUGAGGGAAGACUGCCCUAUGGGUUGUAAACCUCUUUUGUCAGGGAGCAACGCCGGCUACGUGUAGCCGGACUGAGAGUACCUGAAGAAAAAGCAUCGGCUAACUCCGUGCCAGCAGCCGCGGUAAUACGGAGGAUGCGAGCGUUAUCCGGAUUUAUUGGGUUGAAAGGGUGCGCAGGCGGAAUGCCAAGUCAGCGGUAAAAUCGCGG
rnacentral:rRNA from 1 species